rnacentral:rRNA from 1 species
GGGCAACCUGCCUGUAAGACUGGGAUAACUCUCGGGAAACCGGAGCUAAUACCGGAUAAUGCAUGUCCCCUCAUGGGGACCUGCUGAAAGAUGGUUUCGGCUAUCACUUACAGAUGGGCCCGCGGCGCAUUAGCUAGUUGGUGAGGUAACGGCUCACCAAGGCAACGAUGCGUAGCCGACCUGAGAGGGUGAUCGGCCACACUGGGACUGAGACACGGCCCAGACUCCUACGGGAGGCAGCAGUAGGGAAUCUUCCGCAAUGGACGAAAGUCUGACGGAGCAACGCCGCGUGAGUGAUGAAGGUUUUCGGAUCGUAAAACUCUGUUGUCAGGGAAGAACAAGUGCCGGAGUAACUGCCGGCGCCUUGACGGUACCUGACCAGAAAGCCACGGCUAACUACGUGCCAGCAGCCGCGGUAAUACGUAGGUGGCAAGCGUUGUCCGGAAUUAUUGGGCGUAAAGCGCGCGCAGGCGGUCUCUUAAGUCUGAUGUGAAAGCCCACGGCUCAACCGUGGAGGGUCAUUGGAAACUGGGGGGACUUGAGUGCAGAAGAGGAAAGUGGAAUUCCACGUGUAGCGGGUGAAAUGCGUAGAGAUGUGGAGGAACACCAGUGGCGAAGGCGACUUUCUGGUCUGUAACUGACGCUGAGGCGCGAAAGCGUGGGGGAGCAAACAGGAUUAGAUACCCUGGUAGUCCACGCCGUAAA